rnacentral:rRNA from 1 species
AGAGUGAACGCUGGCGGUAGGCCUAACACAUGCAAGUCGAACGGCAGCACAGUGGUAGCAAUACCAUGGGUGGCGAGUGGCGGACGGGUGAGGAAUACAUCGGAAUCUACCUUUUCGUGGGGGAUAACGUAGGGAAACUUACGCUAAUACCGCAUACGCCCUUCGGGGGAAAGCCGGGGAUCGCAAGACCUGGCGCGGAUAGAUGAGCCGAUGUCGGAUUAGCUAGUUGGUGAGGUAAUGGCUCACCAAGGCGACGAUCCGUAGCUGGUCUGAGAGGAUGAUCGGCCACACUGGAACUGAGUACACGGUCCAGACUCCUACGGGAGGCAGCAGUGGGGAAUAUUGGACAAUGGGCGCAAGCCUGAUCCAGCCAUACCGCGUGGGUGAAGAAGGCCUUGGUUGUAAAGUCCUUUAGUUGGAAAGAAAGCAAUCGGUAAUACCGUUGUCUGACGUACCAAGAUAAGCACCGCUAACUCGUGCAGCAGCCGCGUAA